GCAAGCGUUAUCCGGGAUUCAUUGGGUUUAAAGGGUGCGCAGGUGGGAAUGUAAGUCAGUGGUGAAAUACUGCCGCUUAACGGUAGAACUGCCAUUGAUACUGCGUUUCUUGAGUAUGGUUGAGGUAGGUGGAAUGUGUUGUGUAGCGGUGAAAUGCAUAGAUAUGACACAGAACGCCGAUUGCGAAGGCAACUUACUAAGCCAUUACUGACGCUGAGGCACGAAAGCGUGGGUAGCGAACAGGAUUAGAUACCCUGGUAGUCCACGCUGUAAACGAUGUUCACUCGCUGUUUGCGAUACACAGUAAGCGGCUGAGCGAAAGCAUUAAGUGAACCACCUGGGGAGUACGAUCGCAAGGUUGAAACUCAAAGGAAUUGACGGGGGCCCGCACAAGCGGAGGAACAUGUGGUUUAAUUCGAUGAUACGCGAGGAACCUUACCUGGGCUUAAAUGUAGAUUGCAUUUUCGGGAAACUGGAAUUCCCUUCGGGGCUAUUUACAAGGUGCUGCAUGGUUGUCGUCAGCUCGUGCCGUGAGGUGUCGGGUUAAGUCCCAUAACGAGCGCAACCCCUAUCGUUAGUUGCCAGCGGAUAAUGCCGGGGACUCUAGCGAGACUGCCACCGUAAGGUGAGAGGAAGGUGGGGAUGACGUCAAAUCAGCACGGCCCUUAUGUCCAGGGCUACACACGUGUUACAAUGGCCGAUACAAAGGGCAGCUACCAGGUGACUGGAUGCUAAUCUCUAAAGUCGGUCCCAGUUCGGAUUGGAGUCUGCAACCCGACUCCAUGAAGUUGGAUUCGCUAGUAAUCGCGCAUCAGCCAUGGCGCGGUGAGUACGUUCCCGGGCCUUGUACACACCGCCCGU
rnacentral:rRNA from 1 species